rnacentral:sRNA from 1 species
AGUUAAGAAAAACAAACAAUACUAAAAUUAUACUUUAUUAAAUUUUCUUACAUAUUUAUAUAUAUACUAGAUUUUAACCCGCGGUAUACCGCGGGACGAUUUAUUUUUUAAAAGUAAUAUAUAUUAAAACUUGCAAAUUUUAUUUUUAUAAAAUAUUUAUAUUUUACAGUUUAUAAUUGUUAUUAAGUAACGGUAUACCACGAAUCCAUGAGAUAAUUGUAAAAAAACUGAAGUUUUAACCCCUAUUAAAACAGCAUAUUAAUAAUAUUUUAAAAUUUAAUAAAUAUUGAUUCAAAUACAUCCACCAUAUAACCUAAUUCCAAAAUAGAACUCGUUCUGUAAUUUUUUUACCGUCCAUGAUUUUUUUUUAAAAUAGUAAUUUUUAAAAUUUAAGAAUAAUUUUUUAUAUAGAAAAGUUUUGCAAAUUGUAUCAUUCUCUAAUACAUUUAUAUCUAUAGUUUAAUUUUAUAUAUAGUAACAUUAUGCAUACCACAUAACAUUUUUGGUUUUAUAUAAUCUUUUCUAAAUUAGGAUGAUUUGAUAUGUUUAAUAUUAGUGGUCUUAAAAAAUAAUAAAUUAAAGAUUUAACCCGUAUUAAAACGGUGGAUUAAUUAUAUUUUACUUUUUUAUUAAUGUUGAUUCAAAAACCCGUCCCUCCAAAUCCGUCUUGUCAAAAAGCUAUUUAUUUUGUUAAUAUUAAUUUUAUUAAUAUUUAUUUUAUUAAUGAUAUGAUUCUGAAUUAGAAUCUAAACAUUUUAGCUAAUAACAUAGGAGUGCACCAUAUUUAUUUAAUAGGAGAAUGUCCAUAUGACCCGAAUGCACUUUUAUCCAAAUCCACCAAAAAAGUCUUGCAAAAAUACUAUAGAGAUAAGAAACGAUAGUCGGUUUUGAUAGGUAUAAGAUUAGCAAAUAUAUUAGUUAGCAUAAAUUAGUUAAAGAAUACAAAUUGAAAAGGUAUAUUACACUUUAUUCGAAUAUAGUAUCAAAACUUAUAUAACACAGAGAUUUGAUAAAAUUUUAAUUGAUGAAUACUUUUUUUGUGCUAAUUUUUAUGUGAUUAAGAUUUAAUUGAUUUCGUAUAUAAAAUAUUAAAUUGACUUAUUUGUUUAUAAUUUGGUAACAGAUAGAUAUUUGAAUAUUCAAUAUAUUUUGCUUCUAAUCUUUGAUGAUCCGUCUUUAGAUCCAAUAAGCCCUAUAAUCUAGAUAUUAACUUGCGGUAUAUAUUUUAGUUAAACUAAAAUUUUUUAUUGUAAAGAUGAUUUAAAAAUAUUUGAUAUUAUUUUAUUUGAUUUUAAAUGUAUAGUAAACUGUGAGUUGUAUAUGUUUUGUUGAUAUUAUCUAUAUUGUUUAGUGUUUAAGAUUAUACACUUGUAGUUUGAUUGUUAAUUUAAGAGUUUCAUCUGUAGUAUACCAUCUUGUAUUAAUAUCGAUCUAAACAUGCAAUUCUAGGAUUUCCAACUUGUAUUAAAAAUUAAAUCACAUCUAAUAUGUUAUUAAUUAUUGUAGUAUAUAAGAUUAUAAAUUUUCAAUAUAAUAUGUAUGAAAUUGAAUAUAAAUAUUUCAAAUUAUGACCCGUUACUUAGUAGAAAGUUUUCUUAAAUCUAUUUUUUAUCCGUUAUAAUAUUUUUUUAUGUAUUGAACAGUUUAUAUUUGUUUUUA